UACGUAGGGCGCAAGCGUUGUCCGGAAUUAUUGGGCGUAAAGAGCUCGUAGGCGGUCUGUUACGUCUGCUGUGAAAACCCAGGGCUUAACCCUGGGCUUGCAGUGGAUACGGGCAGACUAGAGGCAGGUAGGGGAGAAUGGAAUUCCCGGUGUAGCGGUGAAAUGCGCAGAUAUCGGGAGGAACACCGGUGGUGUAAACGGCUUUCUGGACCAUAACUGACGCUGAGGCACGAAAGCGUGGGUAGCAAACAGG
rnacentral:rRNA from 1 species